rnacentral:rRNA from 1 species
GUCUUUAUGAAUAAAUAUUCCAUCAAAUUUAUAUAAAGUCUAACCUGCCCAAUGAAAAAUUUUAAAAGGCUGCGGUAUUUUGACCGUACAAAGGUAGCAUAAUCAUUAGUUUAUUAAUUGUAAACUGGAAUGAAUGGUUGAAUGAGAAAUUGACUUUUUUAAUUAAAAUUAUUGAAUUUUAUUUUUUAGUAAAAAAGCUAAAAUGAUUUUAAAAGACGAGAAGACCCUAUAGAGCUUUAUAGUUAAAUAUUUAUAAUUAAAUUAGUUAACUUAUUUUUACUAUUAAAUAUUUAAUUAUUUUAUUGGGGUGAUAAUAAAAUUUAUAAAACUUUUAUUAAUACUUUUUCACUAAUAUGUGGUUACUUGAUCCAGUAUUAUUGAUUAAAAAAUUAAGUUACCUUAGGGAUAACAGCGUAAUUAUUUUUAAAGUUCUUAUUAAAAAAAUUUUUUGCGACCUCGAUGUUGGAUUAAGAUAAAUUUUAGGUGCAGCAGCUUAAAUUUUAAGUCUGUUCGACUUUUAAAUUCUUACGUG